AGAGUUUGAUCCUGGCUCAGGACGAACGCUGGCGGCGUGCUUAACACAUGCAAGUCGAACGGGAUUUAGUAGACAGAAGCCUCGGUGGAAGAUUACUAAUGAGAGUGGCGAACGGGUGAGUAACGCGUGAGCAACCUGCCUAUGACAGUGGGAUAGCCUCGGGAAACCGGGAUUAAUACCGCAUAAAAUCGUAGAAACACAUGUUUUAACGGUCAAAGAUUUAUCGGUCAUAGAUGGGCUCGCGUCUGAUUAGCUAGUUGGUGAGAUAACAGCCCACCAAGGCGACGAUCAGUAGCCGGUCUGAGAGGAUGAACGGCCACAUUGGAACUGAGACACGGUCCAAACUCCUACGGGAGGCAGCAGUGGGGAAUAUUGCACAAUGGGGGAAACCCUGAUGCAGCGACGCCGCGUGAGCGAUGAAGUAUUUCGGUAUGUAAAGCUCUAUCAGCAGGGAAGAAAAUGACGGUACCUGACUAAGAAGCCCCGGCUAACUACGUGCCAGCAGCCGCGGUAAUACGUAGGGGGCAAGCGUUAUCCGGAUUUACUGGGUGUAAAGGGAGCGUAGACGGCAUGGCAAGCCAGAUGUGAAAGCCCGGGGCUCAACCCCGGGACUGCAUUUGGAACUGUCAGGCUAGAGUGUCGGAGAGGAAAGCGGAAUUCCUAGUGUAGCGGUGAAAUGCGUAGAUAUUAGGAGGAACACCAGUGGCGAAGGCGGCUUUCUGGACGAUGACUGACGUUGAGGCUCGAAAGCGUGGGGAGCAAACAGGAUUAGAUACCCUGGUAGUCCACGCC
rnacentral:rRNA from 1 species